rnacentral:lncRNA from 1 species
AGCGGUUCCCUCGACUCCACUUCGAUUGGCUUUGAGGUCUUGUCAGUCAAACGCGAGAGGCGCAUUCUUUUUCCCAUGGUCUUGACGGAUCCGGAACCUCUAGACCCCGGAGUCUGAGAAACAAGUCAGAAAUUGGGAGAAGCUUAGGCUGGGUCCCUCUGCCCCGUAGCAACAGCGGGGCCUCGCGUGACAGACGCUUGGGACCACCAAUCCGCAUAGUCAAUGUAGUUUAAAACAAAUGAACCAAACCAAUCCCGGCUGUGUAGCUCCGGAUGCGAAGAAGCCAAUGGGGUUUACAGUGUGAGAGCUGGCAAGGAUCUGGACUUCCCUAAAAGGAUGGCUGAUAGCUGCCCAGUCUGUGAAACAGGGACCCACCAGGCAUGCUGACCACUCUAUGGUGAUCAAGCUCCUGGAAAAGGAAGUGAAGAAGACACUUGGGGAGGGGGGGGGAGGGACAGACAGACAGACAGACCGUGGCUUGAGAUCCACCACAGAUCACCAGCAAGAAGCCAGAGAGGUCCUGGAGGGUGGGACCCCAGCCCUGAUCUUUUGAAAGAAGCUAAAUGUAACCUGAGCCCCAGCAAACUUCCAGUCAUGUGGACUAUUCACUCAAGAUGGACACUGCCUCCGUAGCUCAGGGUGGCUAUAGAUGUAGACCAAGGGCUGUGGACACA